UACGAAGGGGGCGAGCGUUGUUCGGAUUUACUGGGCGUAAAGGGCGCGCAGGCGGUCUUGAAAGUCAGGCGUGAAAGCCCUGGGCUUAACCUGGGAAUUGCGCUUGAUACUCUGAGACUGGAGUACGGGAGAGGAGAGUGGAAUUCCCAGUGUAGAGGUGAAAUUCGUAGAUAUUGGGAAGAACACCAGUGGCGAAGGCGGCUCUCUGGACCGUAACUGACGCUGAGGCGCGAAAGCGUGGGGAGCAAACAGG
rnacentral:rRNA from 1 species